CUGAUGAGAAGCUGUCUAUGCUGCGUUUUCUUUUUGCAUCUGAAAGAGAGAAAGAUAAAAUUAUUUUUCCUAGUACAGAACCUGCAUCGUUCCCACCUGAUAGGAACAGCUAUUGCCUGAUCCGAGAGGCACAGGGUACCACCCAGCUCUUACACGUCAGAGAGUAAACUUCAUUCAGGUGUUUUUAAACAGUUUGGUUAACUUGUAUUCAACUCAAGUCAUCGAGCAACAUUUAAGAAAAGUGUGAUCCAUGCAAAGUUUCAGUCUCCCACCUGUUCCAGGGGAAAGCCAAGAGCAACGGUCAAACUCCUAGAAGAAAGUUUUGGACUGGAUAUAAGGAAAAACUUCACGGUUCGUGUGACGAGACUCUGGGAUAGACUCCCAGCGGGGGUGGUGCAAGCACCAACCUUGGAGAUCUUCAAAAGGAGACUGGACGCACACCUUGCUGGGGUUAUUCGACCCUGGCAAUCCUUCCUGCCCAGAGCAGGGGGGGCUGGACCCGAUGAGCUCACGAGGUCCCUUCCAGCCCAAAACUUCUGUGAAUCUGUUCAAUUCACAGGGGAAAAGCUCACAAGUCACACGUUUGAUAUGCAUUUUAAACUUUCCAGCAAAACCAAACAUAACCAGAUUUAGAUUCUUCCUAUUUCUACGAUAAAAACCAAAACAGGAGGGAGAAAAAAAUGCCUCUUAAAAGUCACCAUCACUCCUUCAAGCUUUCUUUAGGGAUCACAGAAGAGACUGCUUUGCCUAUUUUUUCUUUGGCAGAUCAUUGCCAAUGAAGUUAACAUAGUAAUGGUGGAUUUUGCAAGAUAGCUCUCUUCCAAUAAUCUUGCAGCAUCAUAAAUGCCUCUUCUAACUGUGAGAGGAAGGAGUAAAUAAUGCUAUUUCAGAGAUGGGGAAUCUGAAGCACAAAGACAAGAGGAGAACUGCCCAAUGUAAAAACUGUUACUGUUAUUAACACAGCCUCAAAUGCACACAGGGCAACUUACAGAUAAAUAGAAAGGUGAAGUCUCCAAUUGGCAAAGCUUAUCCUAGCCUGGGCUUUUUCCACUGAAAAUCCCACUCUCACAGAGUCCAGGCGAGUGCCCGUGGUGACAGCAUUUCCAAAAGGUGCUGGAGAAAACUCCAAAGCUCUGAUCUCUUAAGUGCAAUGUUGAUCAGACCAGUUCUUUCACAGAAGAUCACACAGACUAGCACCUUCUUUGCUGCUAAUGCUGGCAGAGUUGAACUGGGGUUAGCAACAAAAGGGAACGUCUAAGAAAAAAUACUCCUGGAGGCAGAGUUAAUUAGAGCUUGCACUAGUGACACAGACUAGCCACAGAAAUCUAGCCACAGGAGGACGAAAGGGGAUGCAGCAAAACACAAGCGAAUGAGCAACUAAGACCAUUUCUCUCCAGUUUUCAUUUGCUUAUUUUCACCGCGCCAAAAACCUGAGUGCGCCCACAGUUUGUCUUCAGUCAAAACUUCUACUGGACCUCCCCACAGAUUUUGCCUGAGAAAGGACAGCAGGAUCUGGCUACACCACAGCAGUAAAACUCCCAGGAAAUACAGAAGCAGAAAGGCCAAAAGGUGCCACUGCAAAUCUCCCUGACAGAAGAGCCAGCACCUUGUCUUGCACAGGUAGUGCCGUCUCCUCGGGAAGCACGAACAGCACUUACCAGGGAGAAGAGAGAAAGAUAAAGGCAGCAGCAGCCAGUUGUCAAAUGGCUACUCUUGGGCUACCCUUGCUUAAUUGCUAACUUCAAAGGGCUUGUGCCAGAAAGGUAUUCUGGGGGAAAAAAAAUCCUUAAAAGGCUUUGUGUACACUGGGAAAAUGAGCUGCAUUAGUUAACACCUGAUAGAAAGGAAUGGGGCAGUUCACACUUAUCAGGGGCUCCUGGGCUAUUGUUUGGUGUCUGCAAAAAUCAGGCCAUGAAUCAUUCUUUCAGUUAUAUUUGGGCCCAUUUUGAAUGCUCUCUUUAAUACCGUAAUGGCUAGAACCUAAUUUUGGAGGGAGUUUUUGUAAAGCUGUGUUGUUUUUUUAAUCCCAGAUUCUGAAGAACAAAACAGCAAUCCCAAAAAAUAAGUACUGGGCCACUUGGAUCAGGCUGGACAUGGCCAGAUUGAGUCCUGGCAAGAGCAAAGCAGUACAUAGGAAACAAUAUGCAUUCUUCUGUUGCAAGAGGAACCCCCAUUCAUAGCCCAUAUCUGGCUCUCUGGCUUGUGAGCAAUAGGUUUCAAGUAAGUAUUUUUAUAUUGGCAUGUUAAGAGAAAUGAUGGCAUCAUUACUGGCACAAAGCACUAAGGACUCCAGAGGAAUCUGAUUGAAUGGAACUUCCCAGAUAAAAAUCACUUAACAUAUUCCACGAUUUCUCUGUCAAUGAGCAGAUCCACUACACUGUCUGUGAAAGGGGGAAAAAAGGCAUAGCACCUUCACCAUCACAGAGGAUGCUUUUCUAUUAUCUACCAGGCUGAAUGUACAGUCAGAGCCCUCCUGUGAAAACAUCUUACAGUGGAAAUAUUAAAAGCUGCAGGAUACAGAGCGAGCAUGUUACCAACUAGCGCCGCAUCUUCUCCCAAUUACUCUUUUUCAGUUCGGUCUCAAGAUUCCUAUCUCACUGAAGGACACAUUUAGGUCAAUUGCAGUUGAAAAUGUCCAGCACGGACUUGAUAAUGAUAAGAAUAAGAAUCCCGAAGGCAUGUCCAUCUCGGAGCGGCACAUGUUCAGAUCUGGUAGGGAACUCAUAUAGAGUGCCCUUUUUGAUUCCAACCAGCAAGACGAAUGCCACAGUUGGAGGGAGACGAAGAAUGAGAUUCAGUGCCUUCUCAGCCGCCUGCAAUUGCUGUAAUGUCACUGCUUCCCCUGAUCUCCUGCCCUCCUAUGGAACAGAUCAGAGAAAUAACAGACUCUUACACGCUAACCAGGUAGGAAAGCUACUGCCUGGAAAGUUAUUCUGUGACUGAGGAACAGGGAAAAAAACAAGGUCUCUUUCUUCCAUCCCAUUUCAAAUGUAGCCAUUGUAUUCCAGGAUCUGUAUGUCCACACAGGAAAUCCUUAUGCUGUAACUGUAGCACCACAAUUAUAACACUAUACCUACACCAGUAAAUUCCUCAGUUUGGAUGAUCUUUCACAUUGGGACUCACCUCUGAAUCUGGGGUUCUUAAUCUCAGCAUACUUACACAUGAUGUAAUAAAACUAGGAAUGCAAUCAUGGGAAGUUUACCCAGUACCACAUUGCAUAGACCGGAACAGAACCAAAGGCAUCUAUUACUGAAAGGGGAGCAAAAUCAGGAAGGCAGCAAAAUCUGGGAGACUCUCAAUGGACCCAUCAUGACAGCAACUGCUGGCCUACCCAAGUGUCAUCUGAAGCAGCAAUCUGUUGAUACCAUCAAUGUCACGUUUUUGGAGCCGUUUACUCUGGAAAAUACCAGAGAGGAAGUUCUGCUUUCUAGACAGCCUUGUCCAAACUCUGGAGAUGGAAUUUUAGGGAAUUAAAAUGUAAUUUCCUAGACUGGAAUCUGCCUAGGACACUGGGAUUAACACCCUUUCUUACAUGAAAAAUACUGUCAGAUGGUUACAUAAACCCAAGUAGUCAUGACUUUCCAAAGAGAACAUCUAAGAACAGCACAGCAAGCUCCACCAUCACAUGGGGCACUGGCUCCCCCCAGAUUCAGUAAAAAGCCCAUGCAGUGAGUUCCAGAAGCCACCCCCUUCAGCAGUCUUGUGUUCUCCUUGGAGAUCCCCCUCCCACUAAAGUCUUAGCCAGGCCUCCCUUCCUCUUCUUAGGUUCUGGAAUCCAACAAGGCUACUUUCUGCAGCAGAAGGGAUUCAGAAAAGUCAAAAAAGCAGCACACCUUGAGGCAUCCCUGAGGAUGAAAUACAGCAAGCUUCAAAGCCCAAAAAGGUAUAGAUAAGCAGAAUGUCAGCACAUGUGAUGCCAGGGAAAAGAUAUGGUGAGGGGAAAAAGCAGCAGCAAUCAGCCACAAACAGUAAGGCUAAUCAUAAGAGAUUCCCCUAAAGAAUGCAUGGGACUCAGGAGGCCAAGGAGUGAGGAGGACAGUCAAAGCUAAUGCAGAGGCUGCAGAGAAGUUAAAUACUUUACUUCAGUAUUCACCAAGGAGGCCUGUGGGAAAAUGCUUCCUCAAAGGGGGCUCUUAUGGGAAGUCAACACAUCACUAGCAGAGGGAGAACUCUCCCAGGAAGAGGAGAGGAUACAGCACCUUAAGGACCUCAACAGCUCCAAAGGAAAUAUGAAAAAGUCAAAGCACCCAAAUUCUUGAGAACAUUUAACCUCCUGACUCUUCUACACAGAACCCCUGCUCCUGAGGUUGGUACUGCUUAUCUCCUGAACCCCAGGUGAUUCAACAAGUGCAGACGGGGGAGUUUCACUUGAGUACUGGAGACAUGACCACAGAGUAUAACCAAGAGCAGGAUAAGGAAGCAUUAGAAGCCACACAACUCAGUGAAAACAGCCAGCACAGCUCCUAUGAAGAGGAAAUGCUGUCUCUGCUCUGGUCUGUUAAAAUUCUUUGAGAAAAAUACCAAAUGUGGUGACUAAGUGGAUACGAGACGUGACUUUGAACAGCAUUUGGUGGCUCCUUCACAGCAAAUUACUUAGGAGAUAAGGUCCUGCCAUGAAUUAAAAAACAGCUUGUGACAAAGAUGCAUAAAUGUCCGCUUCUUAAAGAGGGACAAAGUGUACCUAGGUGCCAGGGAGCCAAGGUGUAACACCAGUGCAUAUGGACAUACUGAUGACAUGAAGUUGGAGGCUCCAGCCUGCAGAUGAACGCCGCUUUUGGCAGAGACCAUUUAGGAGCCUAAAACAUAUGCGUCUGUCCAAGCCAGUGAGGGUGGAUCAAGAUCCUCACGUGUGUGAUGAGGGUUAGUAGUGUUACUGGAACAUACUGGCUACCUGUUUUUGAUCACACCCCCCUCUCGUGACUGAUGCUUUGUUACCUCAUGCAGCAGUGGUCUGCACUUUGGGUGUGGAAGUUCCCAGGCUCUAUCUCUUGUAUGCCUCAUGCCCAACCAUACAAAAGCAAAUUCAUAUGGAUAUGAUGGACAACCUGGGAAAAAAAGUCAAGCUUCCAACAGGUUACUAAGAACUAGGGAGAGCUAGAUUAAAGAAGGGAUUUGAACAGUUACUAAAACAUACUUGAUUGUCCUUUGUUGCUACAGGAACAGGAGCCUUCCAUUCUCACUCCCCGGGCCUAGUAGCUACAGAGGAAGAGACUGUCUCACUGGAUCUGCCAUGUAAAAUCUUAGUGUGCUUUGGCCUGUGAAUGAACUCCCUUCCACAGCACCCAGAGACUGGCACAGCUUCCCACUUCCAAUGCUCAGCUCAGCACUCACUCCAGCUCGACCUUACAAACUGCCCUGCUCCUGGCCCUGGCCCUGGCCCCUCGUGCCUGCCAGGUGUGAGCUGUCCUGAUGUAACCCUAAGGCAGAUGAAAAGGUGCCUUGACCUUAGAACACAUUCUCAUUACUCAGUGCAUCCUUCCUAUCCUCAGGGCACUUCAGAAACUUGCUUUUUACAUCUAAGUGUUUCUACAGGCAGCAGCUCUUCAAAGAUUGCUGCUGCUUCUCCAGUCACCUGCAGCAUCCAUCUUUUAUCCUGACUGCUCCAACAAUUCUUGCCCUUGUGACUUGUUUUUCAUGGUGACCUUUUCCCCUCCAGGGCUUCAUAUGUUCUUUAAAGUUCAAACCACUGAAAACUGUGGGGGCGGGGGAGUGAGUGUGGAGGAAAGCCAGGGCCUUAGGAGUUUCUGGCUCACCAGCUCUUCAGGGGGGUUUCAAGAUGUCACCCCCCUCUCAUCCUUUCUAGUCAAUUGCCCCAAAGUUCCCUAUUUUUAACCCUUUCCCCACCGUCACACUGGUCACUCUGCAAGACCCCAUGUUCUUCUGGCAGCGGGCAUCUAAGGAUUCUGGAUCUGCCAUACAAUUCUCAGUUCAAGUCACUGUAGUGCUCCUGAAAAGAGCUGGCCCCACAGCCCAUGGGAUAUCACAGUACUCACUGUAUCCAGAAAACAGGUACAACAGGCACAGUGAAGUCCAAGCUUCUCCAUGCUGCCUCAAACCUAGCUGAGAAUCACCACUUCCAGAGCAGGGAAGAGUGUUUAACCACCGUGCCCCAUCAAUCCAAUGAUUUAAUCUAGUGAGACUGCUGCCACAGGGCUUAAUUGGUGCCAACUGUUUUUCUUAUAUGCUGUUGAUGCCUCCCCAGUAGGAGCAGGAGGCGAGACACAUUUCACAAGGGUCACCGGACCGCUAUUGGUCAUUACAGGGCUGACACAGCAGAGGCUUCCCUGAGAAGGGAAAGGCUCCGUGUCUCAUGAUCAAUCUCCUGAGCCAUCCAGUCUUCACACUUAAGUUGCUCUGAAAUGUAUUGAAUCUCAUGUAUCUUACUGAUCCUGAACCCCUGCCUCUUCAGCAGGAAGAAACUCUUUCCUACAUUACGUCCAAGGACUGCAACACACUUUUCCAGGGGAUACAAAGGCCAACAGUUUGUCCUUACUUCUUUGAAAAGGCAAUCUCAGGGGCUAAUUCACUCCUUCCUGUAGGACAAGACUGCAGAAGGGAAAAGCUACUGAGCACAAGGCAGAUAGUAAACUUCAGGAGUUCCUGACUCACCAACUCUUCAGAGGAGGGGUUUGAUGACCCACAAAGCAGCCAUGAAAUGUGACCUUCCAUCCACACUAAUGUGCUGAGAUCUGCAGGGAAAUCCCUUUGAACCUCAGACUGUCUCCACAGCGUCAGCUCUGGCAGCACUGCUCACUCAAGUGCAAUGCCAUUCUCCUCUCUGUUGCUGGCCACUCUCUCCAAAACCUCUGCAGUUUGCAAACAUUGUUUUCACAGUGAUGUGCACUGGGUGUUUACAGUGGGGGAAAAGGGUUAGAUGAUGAUACUUUAGUCCUCUGCAGUUCCAGAUAUACCACUCUGAUUCAGCUAAUACUUCAGCUCCUUGUAGCCCUUCUGAGCCCCACAUCAUCAGGAUGACGUGGCCCUGUGUCCCUUUCAAUGCGAAAAAGAGCUGACAGGCCAGACUAGAACUCAGGCUGUAACACCUGCUCCAGGCUCAUGACUGAACAGAUACCUGAUGCUUCCCCACUUUGGUAACUUGCAUCCGUCUCUGUCAUGGUCCAUUUUCAGCUACUGUUUUUCAGUUAUUUUCACUUUCCUGAUUCUAAGAACUGAAAGUCAGUCCCCAGUUUGGGAGAAGUCAAACCAGAGAUUAAAGGAAAGAAAAAGGAGUCAGAUCUAGUGGCUGAUAGAAAUGCAUUCUGCUGAUGAAAAGCGCUAUAAAAGGGCUAAAAAUCUAACCCACCAGAGCACAUUUGCAAUGCAGAUAUUUCUGGAGGAUAAGGGAAUAUGCCAAACACGACAGUAAAUCCACAAAUGUUUGGCAGAUCAUCUAAAUAUAAACAUUACUGAAACCUAGAAAUAAAUAAAUCUGAAAUUAUUUUUUCUGGGAUCCAUUUGCUGAAGGAAUGCUCAAUAAAUAUCAUCCAAGGAAGGUUGGCGCUUCAGUGAAAUGCUUGAGUCUCACAUCCUCCCCACCUCCCAAUACUGAAAUAAUUCAUUAGGUUCUCUACAGUUCUCCACUUUAAUUUACAAUCUGCUUUUCAGAAGCCAAAGCAGCGACUAGCCUAAGGUGCCAGCAUCCAUUCUGAAUAUGCACUCGAAGGAUUCACUCACCAAUUAACAUUGAUUCUUUCUGGUACUCUUUGCUGAGGUGACAGCGCUGGGUCACACAGGACACGUAUCUCUCCAGAACAUACCAGCACAUUUCAUAGUAGAAAGGAUAACGGAAUUUGGCAUGCACCUGAAAGCAAGAUUGAGACUGUCAAUCCAUGUGGAAGGGAGAGAAGUUCGCAGCAUAAGGGCCAGUCAUCAUUCUCAUCAUGUUAUCAAGAGCACAAACAGUAUGCAGGAGGGGGAGGGGGAAGAGGGUGGGAGCCGAGUGAGAUGUAUGCCUUCAGCAUACGAAAUGAGGAGACUGCCUGCCUGCCUGCCAUGAUAGCAUCGUUUCUUGGUUCACUAAACUGUACCCUCUUGGGGUGAUGGGAGAGGAGGGGGGUUGUGUUCUUGCGAAAUCAUGGAACUGAUGGAUGGCCCCCGGAGGUAUUAUUUACCUACUGUAUAAACAUAGGGUGGUCACAUACAGAUGUUAGUCACCAAAAUUCAAGUUAAAAUAAAGGUGGGCUCUUUUGACUUCCUAAAUAUUAUUCCAUGAUUUGUCAAAACGACAGCAUUACCUACAGAGAGCCAAGCAGGAAACACGCUCCUUGUCAACUGUGGUCUUUACAGUACAACAAUUUGAUUAAAGAAUGGAACACACACAAAGUCGUGAUGAUUGGUAUGUAACGUUCAAACAUUAAAUAAAAAACCCUCCACAUUUCUUCUACCCUGCAAUAGAUUGGUAACCAAUUAACAUUUGCCCUGCACAGAACAGAAAAGCGGGAUUCAACCAAAAGAUCCUGCCAGGAUAACCCCUUCCCCUACGUCUCAGACCUUUUGUUCUCACUGGAAGCUGGAAGCUGAUUCUUUAGUGCUAUGUAUUUGUGAUACUAUUUCACACUUAAAAGGAAAAGAAACUGCUAUCUUCCCCCACCUGACUGUCUCAGUAUGGGAGGUCCCUGUGCUACAGAAUAAACUGGGGAGGUCCUGAAUUGGGGAGUAGGCAUGUACCUAGGCAGAUGUUUUUAAAAAAUGGAUGCCAUUCACAGGUACUUACACCAAACAGCUCUGCCUCCUUGCAGGCGCAGAAUGUGCAUUAUGUGGACUUGAGAAAACCUUGCAUGCAUUCAUUGCCCCAGGAUGACAGGCAUGCUCUGUGCAGUUUAACUCUCAGCUAACCAACAGGUCUAGCACACAUGUCCGCUCACCUUUAACAAAACGUGCAUUUCACCAGAAAAGAUAAUUGUCUCAGGCAGCCCAUUUUUAAAAAACAGGAAUCUAAAAAGAUUGACUAAAUCCAGCAGCUGGAAACUCAAAAUGAAACCUGGCUGAAGGGAACAGGUUUUUACACACCUGUCUGGGGAUCUGAGCAUCCACUUGCAGGAUUUAGAUACCUUGUUAGAAUAGCCACAUUUGAAAAUCAUGCCCAGCACGGAAACAAAAAUAGCCUUGCAUCUGCUCCCAGGAUGGGGGAGACAGAAACACUUUCCACAGAGAAAUAAAAUGUAAUUUAAGACAGAUAAACUGGGCUGCCCCACCAAUUGCACUGCAAGGUAUUGGAUAAAUAAUCCAAAGUAAAUCCAGGAGCUGAGACCUCAUAAACUCAGCACAAAUACAGAUGGUAAAUCUGAACCAGAUGCUGUCACAUACUACUGAGUGAUGUACCCCGUCCUGCUUCAUCAUUCAAACAUCCCCCUAUGGCAUGCGGUAUAAAGCAAUGCACUUAAACAAAACAAAACAAACAAAUCAAAACACAACCUAAAUGUAAGAGCAACAUUCAUCCCCAGGGUGAUGCUAUAUUGGAGAAUCCUUUUUCCUUUUGGCUUGGUUACAUGUCAGAAAGAAAAGAUCAAGUCACUUAUCACUAUUACAGAACACAGGGGAAAUUAGCCAUGCUAAAUAUAUAUGCUAAUAAAGGAACUCAAAUUUUUCCAAGAGAGCACUGCAGGAAACAAAAUUUGCAAAGAAUUGACUUACAAACAGGAAGCCGCCUUCCACCCCUCAGCCUUCAAAAGGUUUUCAGCCACAUGCCUGGGAAUAUUAAAGACAUCAUUGCUCAACAUUUGUUGACAGAUUCUGAGCUUCACCAAAUUUAGUUGUUACCAAUGCUAAUUCAAUGUGAAAGACAAGGCAGUAAUGCAUGCAGUGCUCCCAUUAUGUAUAUCAAUCUUUAAUAUUCAAUUUGAGUUCCUAAUUGCCUCACUAUCAAUGUUCCAACCCACAGCAAACCCCUCCAUGCCUCUGUAACUCACUAUUUGCCUGAGAAGGCUCUGCUUUUACAAACCUUCAGAAGUAAAAGCCACUGUGUGUACAUACUGUGCAAAGAUCUACGGUGCCUUUUUGCUACCCAGUUCAGUCUAAGGUUGACAGUGGCUUAAGAAUCUCUUUAAUGUGCUUGAUGUAAAUGUAAAAAGGAGUACAUCAAUUAUGAUCCUCCAAGAUAGUUAUUAGUUCUAAUGGACGUGAACUGGCUGGCAUAUAUGCCCAUAUUUUUUUUUCAUUGUAUAUCCACAGGUCAAAUGAACUUUUAUUUUAAAAAAAUAAUAAUUCUGAAGCCAAAAAUUAUUUUGACAAAUUUGAAGUUUAAUAUCUCAUAUAUGCUCUGUCAGGAGAUGACACCCCACACCAGCAAAGAGAGAGAGUUGAUCAUUUAAUAGGCAUUUUCCAGCUCUAACUUCUAUGAUUAAUAAUUUACAAUCCACUGAAUGCAUUUUUUUAAUUAUUCCUGUAUAGCAAGAAAAAUCCUCUCUGGAGUAUGAACCUUUCUAGAGUUCAAAGUGAAAUUAUUUGAGAGACUUAUACAAAAAAAGUACAUAUAAGACACAAUCUUCUCUAGAAAUAUUAAUCUCUUGCACUAUGUCCAUAAAAAAGCAUUAUAAAUGCUUCUUGCAUUUCAUCACUGUAAUCACAGUAUUUUUUUUAAAUACUUUUUCAUUAAAUUGAAUGAAAAAAUUCAAAUUGAUCAAUUUUAAAUUUAAACUUUAAGUUCCAGAAAAUAGAAUCAGUAGCAAACACCAUCAUCUGUGAGUGACCACCUUACGUAUAUAUUUUGAAUGCUUUUGUCUUCGAACAUGUUCAAAUACAUUAACAGGGCUAAAUUUAGAUUGACUGAAAA